UACGUAGGGGGGCAAGCGUUGUCCGGAAUCAUUGGGCGUAAAGAGCGUGUAGGCGGCCAGAUAAGUCCGCUGUGAAAUCUCGAGGCUCAACUUCGAGCUGUCGGUGGAUACUGUCGGGCUAGAGUGCGGAAGAGGCGAGUGGAAUUCCUGGUGUAGCGGUGAAAUGCGCAGAUAUCAGGAGGAACACCAUUGCGAAGGCAGCUCGCUGGGACGUAACUGACACUGAGACGCGAAAGCGUGGGGAGCAAACAGG
rnacentral:rRNA from 1 species